rnacentral:rRNA from 1 species
GACGAACGCUGGCGGCGUGCUUAACACAUGCAAGUCGAACGGAAAGGCCCUGCUUUUGUGGGGUGCUCGAGUGGCGAACGGGUGAGUAACACGUGAGUAACCUGCCCUUGACUUUGGGAUAACUUCAGGAAACUGGGGCAAAUACCGGAUAGGAGCUCCUGCUGCAUGGUGGGGGUUGGAAAGUUUCGGCGGUUGGGGAUGGACUCGCGGCUUAUCAGCUUGUUGGUGGGGUAGUGGCUUACCAAGGCUUUGACGGGUAGCCGGCCUGAGAGGGUGACCGGCCACAUUGGGACUGAGAUACGGCCCAGACGCCUACGGGAGGCAGCAGUGGGGAAUAUUGCACAAUGGGCGGAAGCCUGAUGCAGCAACGCCGCGUGCGGGAUGACGGCCUUCGGGUUGUAAACCGCUUUCGCCUGUGACGAAGCGUGAGUGACGGUAAUGGGUAAAGAAGCACCGGCUAACUACGUG